GACGAACGCNGGCGGCGUGCUUAACACAUGCAAGUCGAACGAAGAGCGACGGAAGCUUGCUUCUAUCAAUCUUAGUGGCGAACGGGUGAGUAACGCGUAAUCAACCUGCCCUUCAGAGGGGGACAACAGUUGGAAACGACUGCUAAUACCGCAUACGAUCUAAUCUCGGCAUCGAGGAUAGAUGAAAGGUGGCCUCUACAUGUAAGCUAUCACUGAAGGAGGGGAUUGCGUCUGAUUAGCUAGUUGGAGGGGUAACGGCCCACCAAGGCGAUGAUCAGUAGCCGGUCUGAGAGGAUGAACGGCCACAUUGGGACUGAGACACGGCCCAGACUCCUACGGGAGGCAGCAGUGGGGAAUCUUCCGCAAUGGACGAAAGUCUGACGGAGCAACGCCGCGUGAGUGAUGACGGCCUUCGGGUUGUAAAGCUCUGUUAAUCGGGACGAAAGGCCUUCUUGCAAAUAGUGAGAAGGAUGAC
rnacentral:rRNA from 1 species